AAGACUAGGACAGAGUGUUGCUGUUGGGUGAGGGAUUGGCCAACCCAUAGACAAUAACAUGAAAAUUCUAAAUAUUUGAAACGACUAAAAUUACCCCGCGUGGAAAUAGCGGCAAAAGAGCGGCAGGGGGAGAUGGCGGAUGGAGAGAGAAAGUGGGAAUGACAAGCGCGCCAUCGAAGAACCGGACGAAAGGAUUCAAAGUGAUUGAUAAAUGGAAAUGGAAAUUUGGAACUUGGAUUUAAUGUGGAUUGGAUUACAAACUGAUUGGUAGUGUAUACAGGUGACAGAAGAACUGGAAAAGUGGCUUUUUCUCUUUUUGGACCUGGUUAAAAACGGAUGUGGAUCACAAAUAAAAUGGGGAUUUGUUAAUUAGCUGAGUGGAACUGUGGAUUAGAGAGAGAAAUCUGCAGGAGAACGAACAACCCCGGCGGAGAAAAGCUUAGAAAGAGGCGCCCCGGGUGCAGCACACAGCCGAAAGACCGCCGCUCCCUCCCGCCACACGGCCUUGCCGGUGCCCCCCCCUCCUCCGACGGAAGAAGGACAGGCCGCAACCCCUCGGACCGAGAGACCGGGGCAUUUGGCGAGUUAUCGCGGGCGGCGGCCCACCCAGAGAUCUUCUGCACCCCGAUCAAGAGGGAGCUUUGCUUCCUUGGAACUUCCGUGUUCUCUUUCUUAGGCAGUGGUGGAUCCAGAGAGGCAGCAUAUUUUAUUCUGCUCUUGGGCUUGGUGGUUAAGGUAGUUCCAGGAAGUGGCCCUCUCCAGCCUUGAGGUUUGUUUGCAGCAGAAUGAUCCACCAUCGCCCACCCCUCCGUCUAUCCACCCACCCGUCCACCCCGUCCUUCUGGCUUCUCACAGGUCUGCAUGCCCAGAUCCAGCUGGUGCCUAAGGAGGUUUCUUCAGGACUCUCCCAGACACUCCACAGAACAAAGAGCAAAGUCUUUAUCAGCAGAGACUCAGCAAAAGGCCGGCCAUCUUCAUACUUUCCUCCCUGAGAAGUUUCAUAUACAGGUCGUCCUUGAAUAAGGACUAAGUCAACGGCUGCCUUAGUGACCAUUCAAAGUUUCAAUGGCACUGAAAAAGGUGAAUUAUGACUUACAGCAGUUGCAGGAUCCUCACGGUCUCCUGAUGAAAAUUCAGGUGCUUGAAAAUGGACAAAUAUUUAUGACAUUUGGGGCACCCUGGGGUUACCAGGAGCCAAGGAAAUGCGGGAGCGAGAUUCACUGGACCACCAUGUUACUGAGGGGACCUCUUGGAUGAGAAGCAAGAAAAGUCCAGUUGCCUCUUGAAAAAAGCACCUUUGGGACAACCCUGACCUGGAUGGCUGGGAAUCUCUAGAUGUCGGACCAUCUGCCUAACUUGAGAACUGCAGUGAUUCACUUUACAACUGUGGCAAAAAAGAGCAAAACUCAUUUAGCCACAAAAUGUUGGGCUCAGUUGUGGUCAUACGUGGAGGACUACUUGGACACAAGACCUGCCUUUUUAUUCCGAUGGGUUUUUAUAGCCACCCAAAAUGAGCCAUGCAGCCAUUCUCAGGGCUGCCUGAUUUUGCACUGUAAAAGUCCAGAGCAUUUAUAACUGGAGUCCCCUUGGCUUUGAUUUUGCUAUUGGAAAUUCUUUGCACCUGAAAAAUGGGAUUCUUUUUAUAAGUCAGUUGAGUUGCUGAGAAUUUAACUGACCUCAGGGCUUCCAUCCGCAGGAAAUACUCAUUGAGUAUAUUUUCAUAUUGAGAUUUCCUUUUACUUGAAAUAUGAAUGUAUGACAGUUGAAGUAUACGAAGAAAAACAUUGACUACAAAAUAUAAUAAAUUCAUAUUUAUAUUUAUAUUGAUUAUAUUUGUAUAAUAUGAUGAAUAAAUAAAUUUGUAUUUCCUUCU